GGCACUAAAGGUUAAGAACUAUGUUGCUACCAUAGUUUAUUAAAGUUCGAGUCUUUGAUAGCGCCA
rnacentral:tRNA from 1 species